rnacentral:tRNA from 10 species
UCCGCCGUGGUGUAAGGGCAGCACUGCUGAUUUUGGUUCAGUAGGUCCAGGUUCGAAUCCUGGCGGCGGAG